rnacentral:rRNA from 1 species
UACUUGGCGAUCAUAGCGUUAUGGAACCACCUGAUCCCAUGCCGAACUCAGUAGUGAAAUGUAUCAGCGCCGAUGGUAGUGUGGGGUUUCCUCAUGUGAGAGUAGGACAUCGCCAAGUUU